UACGUAGGGUCCGAGCGUUGUCCGGAAUUACUGGGCGUAAAGCGCACGUAGGCGGUUCGUUAAGUCGGAUGUGAAAGCCCUCGGCUCAACUGAGGAAGUGCACCCGAAACUGGCGAGCUUGAGUACGAAAGAGGAUCGCGGAAUUCCCCGGUGUAGAGGUGAAAUUCGUAGAUAUCGGGAGGAACACCGGUGGCGAAGGCGGCGAUCUGGGUCGAUACUGACGCUGAGGUGCGAAAGCGUGGGGAGCAAACAGG
rnacentral:rRNA from 1 species